rnacentral:rRNA from 1 species
CCUACGGGAGGCAGCAGUGGGGAAUAUUGCGCAAUGGGCGAAAGCCUGACGCAGCGACGCCGCGUGAGGGAUGAAGGUCUUCGGAUCGUAAACCUCUGUCCGCAGGGAAGAACGGUCACUGUGCUAAUCAGCAGUGAAUUGACGGUACCUGCAAAGGAAGCACCGGAUAACUCCGUGCCAGCAGCCGCGGUAAUACGGAGGGUGCGAGCGUUAAUCGGAAUUACUGGGCGUAAAGCGCGCGUAGGCGGUAUGGCAAGUCAAGGGUGAAAUCCCCGGGCUCAACGUGGGAACUGCCUUUGAAACUGGCAACCUGGAGGGUGUGAGAGGAUAGUGGAAUUCCAGGUGUAGGAGUGAAAUCCGUAGAUAUCAGGAGGAACAUCAGUGGCGAAGGCGACUAUCUGGCACAUAACUGACGCUGAGGAGCGAAAGCGUGGGUAGCAAACAGGAUUAGAUACCCGGGUAGUC